rnacentral:rRNA from 1 species
GAGUUUGAUCCUGGCUCAGAUUGAACGCUGGCGGCAUGCCUUACACAUGCAAGUCGAACGGCAGCAUGAUCUAGCUUGCUAGAUUGAUGGCGAGUGGCGAACGGGUGAGUAAUACAUCGGAACGUGCCCUGUAGUGGGGGAUAACUAGUCGAAAGAUUAGCUAAUACCGCAUACGACCUGAGGGUGAAAGUGGGGGACCGCAAGGCCUCAUGCUAUAGGAGCGGCCGAUGUCUGAUUAGCUAGUUGGUGGGGUAAAGGCCCACCAAGGCGACGAUCAGUAGCUGGUCUGAGAGGACGAUCAGCCACACUGGGACUGAGACACGGCCCAGACUCCUACGGGAGGCAGCAGUGGGAAUUUUGGACAAUGGGCGAAAGCCUGAUCCAGCAAUGCCGCGUGUGUGAAGAAGGCCUCGG